GGCGGCGUGGCCUAAUGGUAAGGCGUUGCUUUCCGGUGGCAAAGACUGUGGGUUCGAGUCCCAUCGCCGUCG
rnacentral:tRNA from 1 species